UCCUCGAUGGUCUAGUGGUUAUGAUUUCCGCUUGUCAUGGUUUAUCCAUACAAGCGCGGGAGAGCAGGGUUCGAUUCCCUGUCGGGGAG
rnacentral:tRNA from 2 species